AAUGUGUGAGGUGGUGCUAUGUAGCAGGAACCCCUCUUGCUUUGCAAAUAGUUUUUUGUUUGUUUUCCUUUUUGCCCAAUAGAGCCCUGCUCUACUGACCCUUCAAUGUGCCCGUGUGCCUAAAUAUUCCUGGUCGUGUGAAAAGAACCCAGGUAUUAGCUGAACUAAGGAGCACAAUUCUGCAACAUUUUGGCACCCAAACACGGGGCUUGAGAAAUGAAUGCAAUUGGAGAAACUGGUUGUUUUACCAGGCGUUGAUUGGAAAUGUGUGCUUCCCUUUAAGCAGUCAAGCUCAACUUGCAGAACUGAUGGGAACCCCUUGGGAAAACUGGCCUCAAAUGUUUGUCUACACAGUCCACAUACAGGGUUCUUAACCUGCGUUUUUACCUACAUUUUAGACUGACCCUGCUUGUGCCUGUGAACCAACCAACAAUCUCUGGCUGCAGCUCAGAAAGGACAAAAGAGAAUGGAUGAGGGAAACUUCCCAGGGCUUGUCUGGGUAUGCCCACAGUGGACUGGAGCCCAAAAUGCACACUGGAGGAAGUGGAUGGAGCCACGUGGAUGUCAUGCCUUAUGCAGGGGAGGAGCCUGCUCUCUUCAGCUCCUGUGGUAAUGUGGGAAUCGAUCUGUGAGGAAACACUUUCUGAAAAUGUCAGAACUCUUGAAAACAUGGAUGAGGAAAAGCAUAAGUACUGCUUUAUGCUUUUCUUAUGAAUUUUAAAAGAUGUAAUUUAAAGAUGGAGUCUUGUUCUGUGGUCCAGGCUAGAGGGCAGUGGCAUGAUCUCGGCUCACUACAAGCUCUGCCUCCCGGGUUCACGCCAUUCUCCUGCCUCAGCCUCCUGAGUAGCUGGGACUACAGGCGCCCGCCACCACGCCUGGCUAAUUUUUUGUAUAUUUACUAGAGAUGGCUAGUGUUAGCCAAGAUGGUCUCGAUCUCCUGACCUCGUGAUCUGCCCACCUCAGCCUGCCAAAGUGCUGGGAUUACUGGCGUGAGCCACCGUGCCUGGCCAGCAUCCUCUAAUUAUUAUUCAUAGUUUGUGAAUUUAGGCCUACGUGAAUAAUAAUAUAAUAUUUACUAUGAUGUUACUAUCUACCAACCUUAUUUUUCUUUUCUAUAAAAUAGGAGCCAAAAUAAUAUUUAUGUCAUACCUUAUGAAGUUAAAAUAAAAUAUAACGAAUGAGGGGCUUA
rnacentral:lncRNA from 1 species